UACGUAGGUGUCAAGCGUUGUCCGGAUUUAUUGGGCGUAAAGCGCCCGCAGGCGGCUUGCCAAGUCUGACGUGAAAUCUCCCGGCUCAACUGGGAGGGUGCGCCGAAUACUGAGUGACUCGAGUGCGGGAGAGGAAAGUGGAAUUCCAGGUGUAGCGGUGAAAUGCGUAGAUAUCUGGAGGAACACCGGUGGUGUAGACGGCUUUCUGGAC
rnacentral:rRNA from 1 species